rnacentral:snRNA from 1 species
AUAAAUGUCUCGGCCUUUUGGCUAAAAGAAUGUGUAAUAUUUGUUUUUAUCAGUUUAAUAUGUGAUAUGUGGACCAUAUAUUCAUUUUGAUAUUACUUUUUAUGGAUAUUAC